AGCCCUUUAGUAAAAUACGCAAUGCAAUCUACGUUAAUCCUUGUCCCAAUUCUGUGUAGGUCAUGUCAAAAAAAAAUUCUGUGUAGGUCACGACCUCCCCAUCUCCUUCAAAAAAAAAUCUUUCUAAAGCCCACAAUCUUUGAUGGUUGUAAACGUAGAAUACAUGGAAGACUCGAUCCUAAUCUACAUCGUAUUGUGUAGGUCACAAACUCCCCAUCUCCUUCCCCUAAAAAAACUGCCCAUCUCCUUCCCCUAAAAACGAACUCCCCAUCGCCUCAUCUCAGAAAAUAAAAAACCCUCUCACACACGCCGCCGCCGCAGCAGAAGCACCCGCCGUGUUCGCCUCGCUGCAUACAGCCGGUCGAUCAUAGCAAUCUUUCCAUAUGCUUAAUACGUACCCUCAUGCCUUCAAACUUUCCAAGCGCUUAAUCCCCUCAUGCGCUCAAACUUUAUCCGUGCGAUUUCCCGGAUCUUCGUUUCUCUUUGUGUUGUGGCAGCCGUUGUGCGAGUCAGCGUGCUUGAGCGCGUCAGGUUCGGUUUCAAGGUGCAGUGAUGGAGUAUGAUGCUAUUGGCUUGCUGCCUACUUCUAGGCUUGGUUUGGGGCUCCUUCAAGUCUUGAUCCAUGGCUAGGUCUGCAUGCUGGAUUGAAUUUCCAUGCCCUUAAUCCCCAAUCUAUUUGCACAUCUCAUUUGUUCAUUUGUUCAAGCUUUAACCAUGUAAUUUCCCAGAUCUUCGUUCUCUGCGUUGUGGUAGCUGCUGUGAGUUCGGGCCGGAGUAACCCCAUCGCCGGCAAUGCACGGGAUGCAUGGCAGCCUAGAAGCAGGUUCGGUUGUAGAUGACAGGCUCAAAUACAUUCUCGGCCAUAGCAUAAGAACCAAGCAUGUCAUGGAUGCAUGCAUAGAUAUGUACAGGGGUGAAACGUGAUCAGCGAGCCAGGAUGCCAGACGGUUUAAUUAGAAUUGAUAGGCGCAAUCAUAUCUUUCAACUAAUCUAUAUAUCUUCCACUUCCACAUUUAUCUUUUAUUCUGCACCAGAUGGAACUGGAAUCGAUGUAAAAAAUAUUGGGGAUGCUGGUGCUGAAUUAAGUAAGAUGUUUAGGAGAUAUCUGGGUUAGUGGAUAUGCAUCAUAAAUAAUGAAUGCUGACAUGAUGAGUUCUCCUUCACAAUUUGCUCGGAUUUUCAGGUAUUAAGUAAGAUGUUUAGGAGAUAUUUGUGUUAGCGCAUAUGCAUCAUAAAAAAUGUAUGUAUACAUGUUGAGUUUUCCGUCACAAUUUGAUCAGAUUUUCUGGUCUUCGAUGAAGCUCCGGCUAUUUCUUCUUCUGAUAUUCGUUCUUCAUGUAGUUUUCCUCUAUAGUUACUAACCUUCUGUAGUUUUCCUCGAUAGUUACUAACCUAUACAAUAGAUUUUGUACCAUGUUCAUUACCUAAUCAGAUUUGACCUUGACGUACAUGAAGAUUGGAGACAAAGUUGUACAGCAAGACGCAUAAGGAGUUGCUUCUAGCAUGUUGAUCUGUACCUCUGGCGUAGUACAGGUGCAUUGAGUCAUGGUUCAGAGUCUGGUGAGCGCUGAUCCAAUUGCCUACACCAGGUUUGAUCUGGGGACCUUUACAUUUCGACAGAUAUUUCUCCUAGAGUUUCAAAAACCAGAGGGAUACAAUAUACAAUACACAUUACUUAUAUAUACAAAUUAAAUUGAAGGUCGUCAUUUAAGUUGCGUGUUCUUUUGUUUCCAUUGAAGUCCCAUUUUUUGUAUUUUUUGCAUUAUAUUGAAGAAGAAAUAGAUUUUGUACGAUGAUCAUUACCUAAUCAGAUUUGACCUUGGCGUACAUGGAGAUUGGAGACAAAGUUUUACGGCAAGACACCCGAGCAGUUGUUUCUAGCAUCUUGAUCUGCACCUCUAGAGAGGUCCAAGUGCAUCGACUCAUGGUUUAGAGUCUGGUGGGCGCCUGUCCAAUUGCCUACGCCAAAUUUGAUCUGGGGACCUUUACAUUUUGACAGAUUUUUAUCCAAGAGGUUCAAAAACUAGAGCGAUACAAUAUGCAGUAGACAUUACUUAUAUAAAAAUUAAAUUGUAGGUCACCAUUUAAGUUGUGUGUUCUUCUUUUUGUAUCGAAGUCCCAUUUUUUUGUAUUUUUCCCCACAAUAUUGAAGAAGAAACUAACGUCCCUAGAUGUAUUUAAUACAAUUAACCGUGGGGCCCAUGCUUAUUCUAUACUAAUUAGCGACUCCCAAGAAAUUACCACGUUAAUCAGUAAUUAGGAGCUGUUAAUCUGGUGGGACCGAAUUAUAACGGUGUAGAUUAACCAGUCUAUUUUAAGCCCUUUAGUAAAAUACGCAAUGCAAUCUACGGUAAUCUUUGUCCCAAUUCUGUGUAGGUCAUGUCAAAAAAAAAUUCUGUGUAGGUCACGACCUCCCCAUCUCCUUCAAAAAAAAAAAUCUUUCUAAAGCCCACAAUCUUUGAUGGUUGUAAACGUAGAAUACAUGGAAGACUCGAUCCUAAUCUAGAUCGUAUUGUGUAGGUCACAAACUCCCCAUCUCCUUC